UUGUCCUGUGACUGCGUACCUUUUGUAUAAUGGGUCAGCGACUUAUAUUCAGUGGCAAGGUUAACCAUCUAGGGGAGCCGUAGGGAAACCGAGUCUUAACUGGGCGUUCAGUCUCUGGAUAUAGACCCGAAACCAGGUGAUCUAGCCAUGGGCAGGUUGAAGGUUGAGUAACAUCAACUGGAGGACCGAACCGACUAAUGUUGAAAAAUUAGCGGAUGACUUGUGGCUAGGGGUGAAAGGCCAAUCAAACCUGGAGAUAGCUGGUUCUCCCCGAAAGCUAUUUAGGUAGCGCCUCGGACGAAUACUACUGGGGGUAGAGCACUGUUAAGGCUAGGGGGUCAUCCCGACUUACCAACCCUUUGCAAACUCCGAAUACCAGUAAGUACUAUCCGGGAGACACACGGCGGGUGCUAACGUCCGUCGUGGAGAGGGAAACAACCCAGACCGCCAGCUAAGGUCCCAAAUUACUACUAAGUGGGAAACGAUGUGGGAAGGCUCAGACAGCCAGGAUGUUGGCUUAGAAGCAGCCAUCAUUUAAAGAAAGCGUAAUAGCUCACUGGUCGAGUCGGCCUGCGCGGAAGAUGUAACGGGGCUAAGUAGUAAACCGAAGCUGCGGCAAUAUACUUUAGUAUAUUGGGUAGGGGAGCGUUCUGUAAGCGGUUGAAGGUGUGUGGUAACGCAUGCUGGACGUAUCAGAAGUGCGAAUGCUGACAUGAGUAACGAUAAAGGGGGUGAAAAACCUCCUCGCCGGAAGACCAAGGGUUCCUGUCCAACGUUAAUCGGGGCAGGGUAAGUCGACCCCUAAGGCGAGGCCGAAAGGCGUAGUCGAUGGGAAACGGGUUAAUAUUCCCGUACUUCUUACAAUUGCGAUGGGGGGACGGAGAAGGCUAGGUGGGCCUGGCGACGGUUGUCCAGGUUCAAGUGCGUAGGCUUAAGAGUUAGGUAAAUCCGGCUCUUUUUAAGGCUGAGACACGACGUCGAGCACCUACGGGUGUGAAGUCAUUGAUGCCAUGCUUCCAGGAAAAGCCUCUAAGCUUCAGAUUGUAAGGAAUCGUACCCCAAACCGACACAGGUGGUCGGGUAGAGAAUACCAAGGCGCUUGAGAGAACUCGGGUGAAGGAACUAGGCAAAAUGGUACCGUAACUUCGGGAGAAGGUACGCUCU
rnacentral:rRNA from 1 species